UUCUAACGUGGACCCGUAAUCCGGGUUGCGGACAGUGUCUGGUGGGUAGUUUGACUGGGGCGGUCUCCUCCUAAAGAGUAACGGAGGAGCACGAAGGUUGGCUAAUCCUGGUCGGACAUCAGGAGGUUAGUGCAAUGGCAUAAGCCAGCUUGACUGCGAGCGUGACGGCGCGAGCAGGUGCGAAAGCAGGUCAUAGUGAUCCGGUGGUUCUGAAUGGAAGGGCCAUCGCUCAACGGAUAAAAGGUACUCCGGGGAUAACAGGCUGAUACCGCCCAAGAGUUCAUAUCGACGGCGGUGUUUGGCACCUCGAUGUCGGCUCAUCACAUCCUGGGGCUGAAGUAGGUCCCAAGGGUAUGGCUGUUCGCCAUUUAAAGUGGUACGCGAGCUGGGUUUAGAACGUCGUGAGACAGUUCGGUCCCUAUCUGCCGUGGGCGCUGGAGAACUGAGGGGGGCUGCUCCUAGUACGAGAGGACCGGAGUGGACGCAUCACUGGUGUUCGGGUUGUCAUGCCAAUGGCACUGCCCGGUAGCUAAAUGCGGAAGAGAUAAGUGCUGAAAGCAUCUAAGCACGAAACUUGCCCCGAGAUGAGU
rnacentral:rRNA from 1 species